rnacentral:rRNA from 1 species
AGUGGACGCAUCACUGGUGUUCGGGUUGUCAUGCCAAUGGCACUGCCCGGUAGCUAAAUGCGGAAGAGAUAAGUGCUGAAAGCAUCUAAGCACGAAACUUGCCCCGAGAUGAGUUCUCCCUGASWCYUWGAGWSUCCUGAAGGAACGUUGAAGACGACGACGUUGAUAGGCCGGGUGUGUAAGCGCAGCGAUGCGUUGAGCUAACCGGUACUAAUGAACCGUGAGGCUUAACCUUACAACGCCGAAGMUGUU